rnacentral:rRNA from 1 species
ACUACCGAUUGAAUGGUUUAGUGAGGCCUUCUGACUGGCGCCGCUACUUUGGCAACAGAGCGGCGGAUGCCGGGAAGUUGGUCAAACUUGAUCAUUUAGAGGAAGUAAAAGUCGUAACAAGGUUUCCGUAGGUGAACCUGCGGAAGGAUCAUUACCGA